AUAGUGCCCAGUGCUAACCAUUGGUCAGGUCGAAGCCAUGCCGCUCAAAUUUGACGUCUUCAAUCCUGGACCACCCAAAAUGAGGCAAAGGUGAAAAUGGUUCAUAAGGCUCUGAAUCCAGCUCCCAAGGUACUUUCAGCUCGGGUCUGCAGCAAUCAGCGGCCCUCCAAUGCUACCUCCAAAUAUGGUGCCGCAGGGAGUAGAAACUACAAUGCUUAAACCCCCACCAUGGUUUCCUGAGUCACCCUCAUCAGACAGCAGACAAGAGCCUUUUAGUGAAAUUAUCUCAAAAUGACCCUGCAAAAUCAGUGCAAAGUAAUCACCAAGAGGUGGAAGCGGCUUCUUUUAGAAUCCAUGAAGGAGUGAAGGAAAUGUAGCUGCUCUUUUCACACUACACAAGGGGCUCAAGACUUUGUACUAGACUAAUAGGCUAAAUUAAGCCUAUAAGGAACUGAGACAAGACAGCAAUGUGUUGCUGAAGACAGCGGAGUAGUAAAAUCUAGAGGUCAGAAUGUGAAGCAAACCUGGUAAACUGCAUUGUCAAGGCCGUCAGAAUGUGAAGAUAGACGGAGAGUUACAGUUGACACAGUACCAUUAGCUGAUAGAAUGCAGAUGGAUUUGGCAUGCAGCUCUGAGAACGACAUGAUCUUGGAGGUAAUAUCCUGCGAGUAUAAGUAUUUUCAUUGUUGCUGUUAGUUUGCUAAAUUAUACUCCUGCGAGUAGAGAACACAUGAACAAUGCAGAUACCGAAUCUUCUGUGGCAAAUAGUUUUGAACCCACCAUUUUUUUUCUUAAGAAAUAGGUAGAGAGUGAGAAAGCAAGAAAGCAAGUGAUGUUUCUACGAUCUAAAACACAACCAUAGUAAAGGUUUGUGUAUAAGCCCAGGGAGAGAAAAAUAUCGUAGUCCAUGGUAUAUAGAUCAAGGACACUCAGUUGCAUAAAAAACAUGAACAGAAUACAUAUAGCAUUGCAUAAACACCAAGAAGUAUACUAUGGGUAGUCAAUAAAUAUGGUACUACGUUAAUGUUGAGAACACACAGGUUGCUAGAAUGAAGCUUUGGAUCCAUCUAAAUUUAGAAGUUUGCUAGUGAACAAGGACAGCUGGCAAACAUUAACAUCGAUCAUGAUGCAGAUAAUACAGUCCAAGGAACAGCAAAUUGACAAUGCUGUAUAUUUUCACACAUCAUACAGGUUGAAGCACUCGAGAAAAUAAGAAACACACUAAACCACGUUAUACAGAGAAAAUUUGAACAUUGCUCGGCAACUGAAGCUCCAGAUUAAGCUAAAGUGAUUUGCAACAUAAGAAGCUAGGCAGGCGCUUGAAGGGGCAUACCUCUCCCUGAUUUAUAUGCAGUACAUGCGGAGCAAAUGCAUUUCCAGGUGAACAUCCUCCUGUGAUUAAAACAUGUAUAAAUUCAGGGCUACUUAAUGCACAUACAGAAGGGCAAGUUUUCUAUUUUAGGAGAUGAUGAAAUUUCUCGAGCAGCAAGCUUCAUAAAUACGACGAACCUCCAGCUAUAUACAAGCACAAGCACAUCACAUGCUUCGAACUGUCAAAUUUCCAGACACUUAGAGUUGACACUCGUACCGGUCUACUAAGAGGAAAAACAUAAUGUAUUUUUUUUAGUAA